UCAAAUUUUGAGACCCUAAUCGGUGGCUUCGGUGGCUUGACCUCUGCGCCGGCCCUGCAACUCUGUCUCUUUAUUUUUUUUUCUUUCCGGCAACUCUCGAUCCUUCAUCCAUGUCUCGAUCUCUCACUCGCUCAAACUCGUUCCUCCAUCUCUGUCUCGAUCUCUCAAUCACUGUCCCGUUCCUCUUGCUUUCAGUCUCGUUCUCCAUCGGUCUCCAUUUCCUUCCCUCUCAAUUUCAGUCUUAUUUUAAUCGUUAUCCAUCACAGUCUUGUUCCCUAUUAAUUUCCCUCAUCUACAUCGGUAAGUCGAAUCGGUAUGGUUUAAUUGAUAUGUAUUUGACUGUUCUUGUAGCUGAAUUUCGCACUUAGAAGAACUAAGAUAUGUGUGAUUUCGAUUUUAAGUUUGGUCAAUAAUCAAUUUGGAAUUUUGAUUUUAAGCGUUUGUCGAUAGUCUUCAAAUCUUCAUGAUUAUUGUUGAUGCCGCUUGUUUUUUCUUACUCUUUGUAUGUUUACUUAAUUUCUCGUUUGUGUUGAUGUGAGUCGACUGUCUUUGUUAUUUGAGUGUUUGAUCCUUUGAACUCUUUAUUACAAAUUGUAUACUCGGUGGUAGGGCUGUGGUUGUAUUGUUGUGAUAUAUAUGGACAAGGCAUUGGUUUGAGAGAGCUAGUGUCUUUAAACGUAUCUCUAAUCUUAUGUCCAAAUUUAAGUCUAAGUAAUAUCACCUAUCUUACUUCAUUUAUAAUCAUGAGGUUCCUCUUGCAAUCUCCAAGGAUAUUUCUAACCUCUUAUACCACAUUGAAAUUUUGGUUGAGGAUGCUGUUAUGCUUGCAUUCGUAAAGAAGAGAACACCUAGUAUAAUUUGUCAAGUUGCUAAAAGUGGACGAUGGUGUCGUCCGUGACAUCUUUCAUAGUCGCUGCAAAUUUCAGCGACACUUUUCAUGUGUUAAGCGAUCACUGUAACCGUCACAGCUACACAAUUUGACUCCGUCCCCAACGUCAUUAAACUCGUUUUGGUCUUUUAGAGUCGCAGUCACAUAAGAACAGGGCCUAUAUCAUCAAUUUGUAUACAAUGACAUAUAUAAUCUGUUUUUACUAGUCAUAGAGAUUGAUAGUCUUUUUUCUCUUUUUCCAAAAAGCAUGGAGAGCUCAGAUUUGUAGAGACAUACGAGCUAAAGAAGGAGAACAAGAAGAUGUUGCCUUAAAGCAGGCAUGGCUUAUGUAUUUCUCGGGUAGAGCCAAGUUGUAUGGUGUGGAAGAAGAUAUUGCAGAGGAAUGUCUGCAGUUUUGGAUCAGCCUUAGUGAGGGAAAAAUUCAACUUCUCAUGACGUUGUUGACGUGGAACGAGGUUGGUUAGAGCUAAGGAAACUAAGAGUAGAGCAACAAUUUUGGGAAGCUUGUCGCGAAGAAACCGUUCAACUUAUUCCAUUAUCUUCUCCUACCUCAACUCUCUCUAAUCUUUUUUUUUUUUUUCACUAAACAUUGAAACUUUUAUUGAACUGAAAAUGGAAAUUACACAAAGCCGGCAAGGUUCAAAUCGA